rnacentral:rRNA from 1 species
GAAACAACCCAGACCGCCAGCUAAGGUCCCAAAGUCAUGGUUAAGUGGGAAACGAUGUGGGAAGGCCCAGACAGCCAGGAUGUUGGCUUAGAAGCAGCCAUCAUUUAAAGAAAGCGUAAUAGCUCACUGGUCGAGUCGGCCUGCGCGGAAGAUGUAACGGGGCUAAACCAUGCACCGAAGCUGCGGCAGCGACGCUUAUGCGUUGUUGGGUAGGGGAGCGUUCUGUAAGCCUGUGAAGGUGUGCUGUGAGGCAUGCUGGAGGUAUCAGAAGUGCGAAUGCUGACAUAAGUAACGAUAAAGCGGGUGAAAAGCCCGCUCGCCGGAAGACCAAGGGUUCCUGUCCAACGUUAAUCGGGGCAGGGUGAGUCGACCCCUAAGGCGAGGCCGAAAGGCGUAGUCGAUGGGAAACAGGUUAAUAUUCCUGUACUUGGUGUUACUGCGAAGGGGGGACGGAGAAGGCUAUGUUGGCCGGGCGACGGUUGUCCCGGUUUAAGCGUGUAGGCUGGUUUUCCAGGCAAAUCCGGAAAAUCAAGGCUGAGGCGUGAUGACGAGGCACUACGGUGCUGAAGCAACAAAUGCCCUGCUUCCAGGAAAAGCCUCUAAGCAUCAGGUAACAUCAAAUCGUACCCCAAACCGACACAGGUGGUCAGGUAGAGAAUACCAAGGCGCUUGAGAGAACUCGGGUGAAGGAACUAGGCAAAAUGGUGCCGUAACUUCGGGAGAAGGC